CGAGAAUGUAGGUGUGUAAACUUCAAAUAUCUGCUUGUUUUAUCAAGACAUCCCAUAUUUAGCGACAGUGCUCUGACGACGUCGGUCCUGCCUGACAGCUAGCCGGCUACCUAGCUAGCUGCCGCACUUGGCUGCAAAUGGAUAGCGAGGGACUCUCUCUGUCGUUUCACCUCCCCGGUCUCUCGCAAAUGCUCGCACAGAAUCGGAGUUACAGCUGGAUGUGGAAAAAAUAACUGAGUUGUUUGGUGGUGCUAUAACGCGGAGCUACAACAGUGGGCAGCUAUCCACCGGUGUAUGACAGAAAGGACAUGCCGCGACCGCCGAUCGACCGGUGUUUGCUAACGCGGAGGUCAAUCGUGGAUCAGGGAAAGCGAAGGCAGGAGCGUGAGGUGAACUGAAUUUCAGACAUCCCAUAUUUAGCGACAGUGCUCUGACGACGUCGGUCCUGCCUGACAGCUAGCCGGCUACCUAGCUAGCUGCCGCACUUGGCUGCAAAUGGAUAGCGAGGGGACUCUCUGUCGUUUCACCUCCCCGGUCUCUCGCAAAUGCUCGCACAGAAUCGGAGUUACAGCUGGAUGUGGAAAAAAUAACUGAGUUGUUU
ensembl:lncRNA